CUGGACUCUUGUGUCUUCAUGAGAUCCCAGCCCUAGAGCUGAAGCCAUACUUAGCUCUGCUUUUCUAAUGGGUUCUCCUAUGCUCAGUCUCAGGCUGUGCCUGAUACAUCCUUACACUUUGGAGAAGCAGCAAGAAAGUUGAUUCUCGCUAUUUGCUGUUGCUGAACACAGAGCAUGAAAAUCAACAUAGUAAGAUAGAAUAAACUUGGGCUUUGAUAUGAGAUCAACCUGGGCUCAAAUCACAGCUUUGCCGU
rnacentral:lncRNA from 1 species